AUUGAACGCUAGCGGGAUGCCUUACACCUGCAAGUCGAACGGAGUGGCGAACGGGGGAGGAAUGUAUCGGAACGUGCCCAGUAGCGGGGGAUAACUACGCGACAGCGUAGCUAAUACCGCAUACAAUUGGAGCGGCCGAUAACGGAUGAGCUAGUAGGUGGGGUAACGGCUCACAACGGCGACGAUCCGUAGCUGGUUUGAGAGGACGACCAGCCACACUGGGACUGAGACAAGGACCAGACUCCUACGGGAGGCAGCAGUGGGGAAGUUUGGACAAUGGGGGAAACCCUGAUCCAGCCAUCCCGCGUGUGCGAUGAAGGCCUUCGGGUUGUAAAGCACUUUUGGCAGGAAAGCGGUACCUGCAGAAUAAGCACCGGCUAACUACGUGCCAGCAGCCGCGGUAAUUC
rnacentral:rRNA from 1 species